AUGGACGCAAGUCUGAUGGAGCAACGCCGCGUGAGUGAAGAAGGUUUUCGGAUCGUAAAGCUCUGUUGUUGGUGAAGAAGGAUAGAGGUAGUAACUGGCCUUUAUUUGACGGUAAUCAACCAGAAAGUCACGGCUAACUACGUGCCAGCAGCCGCGGUAAUACGUAGGUGGCAAGCGUUGUCCGGAUUUAUUGGGCGUAAAGCGAGCGCAGGCGGAAAAAUAAGUCUAAUGUGAAAGCCCUCGGCUUAACCGAGGAAUUGCAUCGGAAACUGUUUUUCUUGAGUGCAGAAGAGGAGAGUGGAACUCCAUGUGUAGCGGUGGAAUGCGUAGAUAUAUGGAAGAACACCAGUGGCGAAGGCGGCUCUCUGGUCUGCAACUGACGCUGAGGCUCGAAAGCAUGGGUAGCGAACAGGAUUAGAUACCCUGGUAGUCCAUGCCGUAAACGAUGAGUGCUAAGUGUUGGGAGGUUUCCGCCUCUCAGUGCUGCAGCUAACGCAUUAAGCACUCCGCCUGGGGAGUACGACCGCAAGGUUGAAACUCAAAGGAAUUGACGGGGGCCCGCACAAGCGGUGGAGCAUGUGGUUUAAUUCGAAGCAACGCGAAGAACCUUACCAGGUCUUGACAUCUAGCGCCAAUCGUAGAGAUACGAUGUUCC
rnacentral:rRNA from 1 species